UGCGGGGUAGCUCAAUGGUAGAGCGGAUUCCUGUCAAGAAUAGAGAUGUGGGUUCGUCCCGAACUCCCAA
rnacentral:tRNA from 1 species